rnacentral:rRNA from 1 species
GGUAAUGCGUGACCAACCUGCCCCAUGCUCCAGAAUAGCUCUUGGAAACGGGUGGUAAUGCUGGAUGCUCCAACUUGACGCAUGUCUUGUUGGGAAAGUGUUUAGUGGCAUGGGAUGGGGUCGCGUCCUAUCAGCUUGUAGGCGGGGUAAUGGCCCACCUAGGCUUCGACGGGUAGCCGGCCUGAGAGGGCGGACGGCCACAUUGGGACUGAGAUACGGCCCAGACUCCUACGGGAGGCAGCAGCG